rnacentral:lncRNA from 1 species
AUUCGUUGAACGCGGUUGUAUUUUCCGAUUUCCAGUAAAGAAUUAUAACAAUGCAAGUGGCCAUAAUGCUGUGAAGUGUGAAUUUUAUGAGGAAUUGGAUGAAAUUUUGGGAAUCAAAGAUAUUAUUACUAUUGUGACUUUUGAUAAUCUUAAGGAAAAUGAAAAUAUAUAAAAUUCAGAGGCUUCUCAAGAAACUACAUUGAUACUGUACUUCAAACUAUAUCUGAAAAUGAUACAGCUGACACACCAAUAUUUGAGCAUAUAAUUGACAAGCAUAUUAAUGAAAAAAAAAUCAACUCCAAGAAACACAAGAUUAAAGAAAAGAAAACAUCAACACCAACAAGAGUGGAUUGAAAGAUUUAUUGAAUAUGAUCAAGCAGAGAAACAAGUAGCUCAAUCACAAGAAGGAAUUUGGCAAGAAAUGAGAAUCCAGCAUGAGCAUGAAUUAGCUGAAAAAGAACAAGUAAUAAGAGAGGAAAAAAACAAAAAAUAGAAUUCUUUUUGAAAACAUGAAUCGGAGGGAACUUGAGCAUGAAGCAGCAAUGAUGAAAUAUUUACUGAUGUUAUGUUAUCUAUGAGAUUCUUCAACAAAAGGUACAGAUGAUUCAUGCAAGUGAUUCACAUUUAACAAAAAGUGUC